rnacentral:rRNA from 1 species
CUACGGGGCGCAGCAGUGAGGAAUUUUGCGCAAUGGGGGGAACCCUGACGCAGCAACGCCGCGUGAGUGAUGAAGGCUUUCGGGUCGUAAAGCUCUGUCAAGUGGGAAGAACCUAUGCAGUGUUAAUAUCACUGUAUACUGACGGUACCACUGAAGGAAGCACCGGCUAACUCCGUGCCAGCAGCCGCGGUAAUACGGGGGGUGCCAGCGUUAUUCGGAAUCAUUGGGCGUAAAGGGCACGUAGGCGGCGUGGUAAGUCAGAUGUGAAAGCCCGGGGCUUAACCCCGGAAGUGCAUUUGAUACUGUCAGGCUUGAGUAUGGGAGAGGGAAGUGGAAUUCCUGGUGUAGAGGUGAAAUUCGUAGAUAUCAGGAGGAACACCGGUGGCGAAGGCGACUUCCUGGACCAAUACUGACGCUGAGGUGCGAAGGCGUGGGUAGCAAACAGGAUUAGAUACCCCCGUAGUC